CCUGCCAGUAGUCAUAUGCUUGUCUCAAAGAUUAAGCCAUGCACGUCUAAGAUCGCUAGGGGUGGGCAACCACUUACGAGUAAUCUGCGAAAGGCUCAUUAUAACAGUUACAAACUUGGCUACUAGUUUCCCCACAAGGAUAACACAGCCAAAUGCAGCGAUAAUACUUGAACAAACGUUGGUGAAUUGUAUAGCCAACAAACAGUAGCAACAAAGGAAUGUCUGCUACAUAUCCCCGCAAGGGGUGUUGACCAUAGUAAUGUGGCCUAGAAGAGGUAUUUCUUCCUUAUCAGUUAGUUGUUUCAGUAAGGGUGAAACAAGACACUUACGGGUACGGGGAAUCAGUGUUCGAUUCCGGAGAGGGAGCCUGAGAAAUGGCUACUACAUCUAAGGAGGGCAGCAGGCGCGAAAAUUACCCAAUCCUAACAAUUUUGGGAGGUAGUGACAAGAAAUAACGACCUCACACGCAGACUCUGUCGGUGGGAGGGUACUUCGGUUUGCAAUGGUCCUAGUUUAAAUCUCUAGGAGAGUAUCGAUUGGAGGACAAGUCUGGUGCCAGCACCCGCGGUAAUUCCAGCUCCAAAAGCAUAUACUAAAAUUGCUGUAGUUAAAACGCUCGUAGUUUAUACGUAGGAGAUUAUUGAGAUCAUUUGGUGUGGUGAACAUUUUCGUACCAUUACAUUCAUUUUAUGGAUCUUGGUAUCGAAAGUGACCUUACGGUUUAUUCGCCACAUCCUUAGGUGACGAGUGGUUAAUAGCCAUAAGUCACAAGUGUGAUCAGUAACUCUGUCCAGGAACCGUGAACAAAUUAAUGUGUUUAAGGCAAGCUCGUGUAUCUAAUACAUAGCUUGAAUAAUUUAGCAUGGAACCACUAUACCCUCCUUUUGGAGGGACCUGGUAAUAAAAGCUCGGCGGAGGACUCUGGUAUUGCGCACUUAGAGGUGAAAUUCCGAUAUUUCCGCAAGACGAACGGAUGCGUAGGCUGUCAUUGCCCAUCACACCUUUAUUGAUCAGGAACGAGAGUCAGGGGAUCGAAGAUGAU
rnacentral:rRNA from 1 species